UGGUCGUGGGUGGGGAGGUCACAGUGGUGGGGGUUGGUGUUGGGGGUCUCUGUGGUGGUGGUUGUGGUGGUGGUGGUCGGGGUUGAGGUCUCUGGGGUGGUGGUGGUGGUGGUGGUGGUGAUGGGGGUCACGGUGGAGGUCUCAGUGGUGGUGGGAGAAGCUGUGGAGAAACACAACCCACAGCAGUACACGUUGAUCUCAUAGUUGAGGCAGUGAGGCAUGGGGAUGCGUCCCCCAGGCUUCUGGUCUUGUUUGUUUUUGCACACCAGUCCAACUGAAGUGUCACACACCCACCGUUUGUCCAAGCUGUUUGAUGGGAACGUUUGGAUACCUCUGGGCUCUGCAGGCGAUGUCGGCUACCCAGCCUCUUCCACAGACAUCUCUGAUGGGUUCAAUGUCGGCACCUUGUUUGGUCACAUUUGGUUUACCAGAAUCCAGCCCACCCAGUCCAUUGGCAGUCGUCCCAACACAGCGUGGUCUCAGUGGUCGUGGGUGGGGAGGUCACAGUGGUGGGGGUUGGUGUUGGGGUCUCUGUGGUGGUGGUUGUGGUGGUGGUGGUCACAGUGGUGGGGGUUGGUGUUGGGGUCUCUGUGGUGGUGGUUGUGGUGGUGGUGGUCGGGGUUGAGGUCUCUGGGGUGGUGGUGGUGGUGGUGGUGGUGGUGAUGGGGGUCACGGUGGAGGUCUCAGUGGUGGUGGGAGAAGCUGUGGAGAAAACACAACCCACAGCAGUACACGUUGAUCUCAUAGUUGAGGCAGUGAGGCAGGGGGAUGCGUCCCCCAGGCUUCUGGUCUUGGUUUUUGCACACCAGUCCAACUGAAGUGUCACACACCACCGUUUGUCCAAGCUGUUUGAUGGGAACGUUUGGAUACCUCUGGGCUCUGCAGGCGAUGUCGGCUACCCAGCCUCUUCCACAGACAUCUCUGAUGGGUUCAAUGUCGGCACCUUGUUUGGUCACAUUUGGUUUACCAGAAUCCAGCCACCCAGUCCAUUGGCAGUCGUCCCAACACAGCGUGGUCUCAGUGGUCGUGGGUGGGGAGGUCACAGUGGUGGGGGUUGGUGUUGGGGUCUCUGGGGUGGUGGUGGUGGUGGUGGUGG
rnacentral:lncRNA from 1 species